rnacentral:rRNA from 1 species
AACGAACGCUGGCGGCAUGCCUAACACAUGCAAGUCGAACGAUAACAUCGGGUCUAUGGGCGCCCGGUGGCGUAAGGGGUGGGAACAUGCCCUUAGGUUCGGAAUAACUCCCGGAAAGGGGUGCUAAUACCGGCUAAUAUCUUCUGACCAAUAAUUUAUUGACUUGGGGUGGGCCAGCGUUGGAUAUGCUAGUUGGUAGGGUAAAAGCCUACCAAGGCGACGAUCCAUAGCUGGGCUGAGAGGAUGAUCAGCCACUCUGGGAGUGGGCCACGGCCCAGAAUCCUACGGGAGGCAGCAGAGGGGAAUAUUGCACAGUGGGCGAAAGCAUGAAGCAGCAAUGCCGGGUAAGUGAUGAAGGCCGGAGGGUUGUAAAGCCCUUUUACCCGGGAUGAUAAUGACAGUACCGUAAGAAUAAGCUCCGGCUAACUACGUG